UACGUAGGGUGCAAGCGUUGUCCGGAAUUAUUGGGCGUAAAGAGCUCGUAGGCGGUCUGUCACGUCGGACGUGAAAAUCCAGGGCUCAACCCUGGACCUGCGUUCGAUACGGGCAGACUAGAGUUCGGUAGGGGAGACUGGAAUUCCUGGUGUAGCGGUGAAAUGCGCAGAUAUCAGGAGGAACACCAGUGGCGAAGGCGGUGGUCUGGGCCGGAACUGACGCUGUAGAGCGAAAGCGUGGGGAGCGAACAGG
rnacentral:rRNA from 1 species